rnacentral:rRNA from 1 species
UACGUAGGUGGCGAGCGUUAUCCAGAAUUAUUGGGCGUAAAGAGCGCGCAGGUGGUUGAUUAAGUCUGAUGUGAAAGCCCACGGCUUAACCGUGGAGGGUCAUUGGAAACUGGUCAACUUGAGUGCAGAAGAGGGAAGUGGAAUUCCAUGUGUAGCGGUGAAAUGCGUAGAGAUAUGGAGGAACACCAGUGGCGAAGGCGGCUUCCUGGUCUGUAACUGACACUGAGGCGCGAAAGCGUGGGGAGCAAACAGG